AUACUGAGAAUGAGUUAAGCUCCUGAAGUUCAGCAAGGAGUAUGGACGGGUUCUUAAUUAGAGUAAGGAGAACUUUAGCAAACUAGCUGACAAUCUAUAGUAUUCUUUCUAACGGGCUGGAAGGCUGAUGGGAAGGUCUCUGGGUACUCGUUAAUAGCUGGCAGACAGGUGGAAGCACGGUCUGGGCAAAGGAGGCCUCUCUGACACUUCUGCUUAAGUAAAGAAGCUAGAGCAGAAAGAAUCAGAAUUUGGAUUUUAAAAUAAACUUCUACUUAAACUCCAGAGACUGAAACAUUCUCCAUUUGUAUGUGAAGUUUCUCUCUGAAGGCUUCACAUACAGAAGCAAGUAAACUGCAGUCCUGCACUCCGCACAAGACUGAUGGUGUAUGGCUGCUGCUGACUUCAAGGGGACUUUCUUGACCCCAGAGCUUUGUGGGCUAUGAAAAGGCAAAUUUCCUAUAAACUGCUUUUCUGUAUGUCUCCAGAAGGAGAGGGCUUCUCUGAAAUUAAAUGGAAAGGGUGAAAAGAAAUAAAAUGUGCCUUAGUCUCUGUAAAGACCAGAUGAUAACUAUAGUGCUACGUCUCUCCUGUACAUAACAGGGAAGCAGACAAGAGUAAUAAAAAGUAUAGGUAGAUCAAUCUGUACAUACAUUUCUUCAGCUCUAUAUAAUACAUGAAUCUUGAGAUCAUGCAGUCCUACGUUCAUAAGGGAUCAGCUCAUCAGUCAGUGCAUGUAAAAUAACUGCCAUCAAGCAACAUAUGUUGAAAAGAUUUCUCACAAAGAUUUAGUGUGAGCUGAAGUUUAAAAAAAUAUCUUGGUGCUGAGGAGGAACAAGCUUGAGAAUCCAAGAGGUAUGGAAGACCUGAGGAAAUGUGAACUGUAAGGCAUAUGUGUGUUGUGCUGGUGCUUAUAGCUAUUGCUGCCACCUGCAGACUCUACAUAAGGGCAAAUCUGAAAAGCAUCACUAUUCUGUGCCCCCUGGUUUUCUCUGAAAUGAAGAGAGUGGCCGUGUAGUGUCCUCCAAUGUCUCCCUCAGUCUCGGCAUUUAGAUACCUGUAUGACAGAGGCUCGUUUGGGUGUCCAGCCCACAGCAGAGACACGUCCAGGAAGAGUUUGUACUAGCCAAUAACCUCUCAACAUAACUUCACCUUACAAACCUGUAGUGUUAUGCUCUGUAAAAGCAAGUGAUCUGCUGGUCUUUCUGUUAUAUUUUUUAUUGCUUAUUUUUCUCACUUCCCUACUAUUCAUGGUUGUGACCUCAUAAGAUUUAUUGAGUUCAAAGAGAAAACUUGAGGGGCUGCAAAGGUGAUACUAGAGAAGGUCCCAAAAACAUGAGCAGUGUUCUCCCCCAUAGUCUGUAUUGAUUUAGUGCCCUGGAAUGGGCUUGCCUCCUGAAAAUGCUGCCUCUUCAAUUACAGAUUAAGUUAAAGGCUUACUACUUGCAAGAACAGAACUGUGUAAGUCUUCCAUGAUUUAAUCUGAAAGAAUGUGUAUACGUGUAUGCCUUUGAUUUCAGAUAUGCAGAUGUAAAGGAGGAGGAUGAUCUUGCACUAGGAAAUGGAGGUGAAGUAGACCUGGUUUCAUUUCCUGCCUGUACCACAGGCUUGCCAUGUAAUCUAAGAUAGGCUACUAAACUCUUUGGUCACUAUUACAGGCCCUGUAAAAUUGGGAUAACAAUAUUUUCUUUUGCUUUAUAUGUCCCUAUUCUUGCCUAGUAAAAUAGUAUGCUUUCUGGCUUAACGUAUUUGGGGACGUGUUUGUAUGGUAAAUAAGCAAGCAUGUGAACGUGGUACUCUCUUUCCAAGACUUCCUAUCUGUGCAUAUCCAGGACUCACUCACAAAUGCAAACUGGCCAUGAAUGUGAGUGCUUGCACAAGUCUGUCUGCCUGUUCAUCUGGUUGCAGGUAUAUUCAGGUCAGCCAGUGUUCUGGAGUUGCUUCUGACUGGAAUUCAUGAAUAAAAAAGCAAUUUUCGGCACCUAGUAGUUCAAUUAGAGUUAAGGAACAUUUUUCAUGUUCAUUAUCAACAAAUGAGGAGGGUUAUCAUAUGCCUCUAUGACUUAGGUUGUUUGCCUGAAAUAUGAGAUUUGAUUAGAAUCCCUAAUCUAGUUCUGCCAGCUUUCUAGUAUAUUACAGGUGGGGAACCAGUCACAUCAGAAAUUAAGAGUUAUUCCUCUCUCUGCUUCAGUGGAAACUCUAGAGUAAUUAAUAACAUUUUAAUGUAACUAACAAUCAACUGGGAAUUCUUAAGUGCUAUUUUCAUGACAAAUUGUAAAUGCUGUGAAUGGCCACACUGCACCUUAUGAUUCUGCUCAGGCAAUUUCCUUAUAGCUAUAGAAUGCUACAAGUCAUUCAGGCAGAGUAAAACAUUUAUGGCCAAUUUUAAUGCACACCUCAUAAAAAUCAUUACUGUGAAUUAAUGAGUAGAAAUACAUUUGAAUCCAGGCCUGAUAACGUGAUAGAGUUGAGGGUAGAAAUGGAGUUAUUUAUACUUCUUUGUGAAUAAGCAUCAGAAAUAAAGAUUUUUAUCAUGUAUUCUGACUAAAUCAAAUUUGAAUAAAUAUAUACAUUCUUUCC
rnacentral:lncRNA from 1 species